rnacentral:rRNA from 1 species
GAUGAACGCUGGCGGCGUGCCUAAUACAUGCAAGUCGAGCGAACGGACGAGAAGCGUGCUUCUCUGAUGUUAGCGGCGGACGGGUGAGUAACACGUGGAUAACCUACCUCUAAGACUGGGAUAACUUCGUGAAACCGGAGCUACUACCGGAUAAUAUUUUGUACCGCAUGGUUCAAGAGUGAAAGACGGUCUUGCUGUCACUUAUAGAUGGAUCCGCGCUGCAUUAGCUAGUUGGUAAGGUAACGGCUUACCAAGGCAACGAUGCAUAGCCGACCUGAGAGGGUGAUCGGCCACACUGGAACUGAGACACGGUCCAGACUCCUACGGGAGGCAGCAGUAGGGAAUCUUCCGCAAUGGGCGCAAGCCUGACGGAGCAACGCCGCGUGAGUGAUGAAGGUCUUCGGAUCGUAAAACUCUGUUAUUAGGGAAGAACAUAUGUGUAAGUAACUCUGCACAUCUUGACGGUACCUAAUCAGAAAGCCACGGCUAACUUCGUG